UACGUAGGGCGCGAGCGUUGUCCGGAAUCAUUGGGCGUAAAGCGCGUGUAGGCGGCCUAGUAAGUCUGCUGUGAAAGUCCAGGGCUCAACCCUGGGAUGUCGGCGGAUACUGCUGGGCUGGAGUACGGGAGGGGCGAGUGGAAUUCCUGGUGUAGCGGUGGAAUGCGCAGAUAUCAGGAGGAACACCUAUGGCGAAGGCAGCUCGCUGGAACGUUACUGACGCUGAGACG
rnacentral:rRNA from 1 species